rnacentral:rRNA from 1 species
CCCAGACUCCUACGGGAGGCAGCAGUGGGGGAUAUUGGACAAUGGGGGAAACCCUGAUCCAGCGACGCCGCGUGAGUGAAGAAGUAUUUCGGUAUGUAAAGCUCUGUCAGCAGGGAAGAAAGAAAUGACGGUACCUGACCAAGAAGCCCCGGCUAACUCCGUGCCAGCAGCCGCGGUAAUACGGAGGAUGCGAGCGUUAUCCGGAUUUAUUGGGUUUAAAGGGUGCGCAGGCGGUCUGUUAAGUCAGCGGAAAAAGCCCGGGCCCCACCCCCGGCGAGCCGUUGAAACUGGCGGGCUGGAGUUGGAGAGAAGUACGCGGAAUGCGCGGUGUAGCGGUGAAAUGCUUAGAUAUCGCGCAGAACCCCGAUUGCGAAGGCAGCGUACCGGCUCCACACUGACGCUGAGGCACGAAAGCGUGGGUAUCGAACAGGAUUAGAUACCCGCGUA